GUAGGGAAUCUUGCGCAAUGGGCGAAAGCCUGACGCAGCCAUGCCGCGUGAAUGAUGAAGGUCUUAGGAUUGUAAAAUUCUUUCACCGGGGACGAUAAUGACGGUACCCGGAGAAGAAGCCCCGGCUAACUUCGUGCCAGCAGCCGCGGUAAUACGAAGGGGGCUAGCGUUGCUCGGAAUUACUGGGCGUAAAGGGAGCGUAGGCGGAUAGUUUAGUCAGAGGUGAAAGCCCAGGGCUUAACCUUGGAAUUGCCUUUGAUACUGGCUAUCUUGAGUAUGGAAGAGGUAUGUGGAACUCCGAGUGUAGAGGUGAAAUUCGUAGAUAUUCGGAAGAACACCAGUGGCGAAGGCGACAUACUGGUCCAUUACUGACGCUGAGGCUCGAAAGCGUGGGGAGCAAACAGGAUUAGAUACCCUUGUAGUCC
rnacentral:rRNA from 1 species